rnacentral:rRNA from 1 species
CCUACGGGAGGCAGCAGUGGGGAAUAUUGGACAAUGGGCGAAAGCCUGAUCCAGCAAUGCCGCGUGAGUGAUGAAGGCCUUAGGGUUGUAAAGCUCUUUUACCAGGGAUGAUAAUGACAGUACCUGGAGAAUAAGCUCCGGCUAACUCCGUGCCAGCAGCCGCGGUAAUACGGAGGGAGCUAGCGUUGUUCGGAAUUACUGGGCGUAAAGCGUGCGUAGGCGGUUAUUCAAGUCAGAGGUGAAAGCCCGGGGCUCAACCCCGGAACUGCCUUUGAAACUAGAUAACUAGAAUCUUGGAGAGGUUAGUGGAAUUCCGAGUGUAGAGGUGAAAUUCGUAGAUAUUCGGAAGAACACCAGUGGCGAAGGCGACUAACUGGACAAGCAUUGACGCUGAGGUACGAAAGCGUGGGGAGCAAACAGGAUUAGAUACCCUGGUAGUCCACGCCGUAAACGAUGAUAACUAGCUGUCCGGUCGACGUUGGUUGUCGUUGGGUUGGGUCGGCGACGCGUAACCGACAUUAAGUUUAAUUCCGUCCGUCGGGGUAGGGUACGGGUCGGUCGAGAAGUUAAACUAACAAAUAGAAGUUAAGUACGGUCGUUGAGACGUUGCCGAACGGCGACGACGAGGGAGGUUAGG